AGGUGCUGCACGGCUGUCGUCAGCUCGUGUCGUGAGAUGUUGGGUUAAGUCCCGCAACGAGCGCAACCCUCGUCACUAGUUACUAACAGUUAGGCUGAGGACUCUAGUGAGACUGCCUUCGUAAGGAGGAGGAAGGUGAAGACGACGUCAAGUCAUCAUGGCCCUUACGGCUAGGGCAACACACGUGCUACAAUGGUUAGGACAGUGAGAAGCGAUACUGCGAGGUGGAGCCAAUCUAUAAACCUAAUCUCAGUUCGGAUUGUAGUCUGCAACUCAACUACAUGAAGCUGGAAUCACUAGUAAUCGUAGAUCAGCUAUGCUACGGUGAAUACGUUCCCGGGUCUUGUACUCACUGCCCGUCACACCAUGGGAGUUGAUUUCACCCGAAGCGGGGAAGCUAAACUGGCUACCCUCCACGGUGGAAUUAGCGACUGGGGUGAAGUCGUAACAAGGUA
rnacentral:rRNA from 1 species